rnacentral:sRNA from 1 species
AUUUUUUUCUUCUUUUUUU